CUCAUGGAGAGUUUGAUCCUAGCUUAGGAUGAACGCUAGCCACAUGAUCGUACAGGAAGUGGUGUUUCUAGUAGUUGACGGAUGAGUAACGCAUAAGAAUUUGCCCUUGGGAGGGGAACAACAGUUGGAAUGACUGAUAAUACCCUGUAGGCUAAGGAGCCAAAGGAGGAAUCCGCUCAAAGAGGGGCUUGCGUCUAAUUAGCUAGUUGGUAAGGCAAUAGCUUACCAAGGCGGUGAUCAAUAGCUAGUCCGAGAGGAUGAUCAACCACACUGGGAUUGAGACACGAACAAGACUCCUAUAGGAGGUAAUAGUGGGGGAUUUUUCGCAAUGGGCAAAAGUCUGACGAAGGAAUGCCGCGUGGAAGUAGAAGGCCCACGGAUUGUGAACUUCUUUUCCCAGAGAAGAAGCAAUGACAAUAUCUGGGGAAUAAGCAUUGGCUAACUCUGUGCCAGUAGUCGCAAUAAUAUAGAGGAUGCAAAUGUUAUCUGGAAUGAUUGGGUGUAAAGCGUCUAUAAGUGGCUUUUUAAGUUCGCUGCCAAAUCUCAGGGCUCAACCUUGGAUAGGUGAUGGAAACUACCAAGCUGGAGUAUGAUAGGGACAAAGGGAAUUUUCAGUGAAGGGGUGAAAUGUGUAGGAAUCAGAAAUAACACCAAUAACGAAAGCAUUUUGCUAGGUCGGCACUGACACUGUUAGACGAAAGUUAGGGAGCAAAUGGGAUUAGAUACCCCAGUAGUCUUAGCUGUAAACAAUGGAUACUAAGCGCUAUGCGUAUUGACCCAUGAAAUGCUGUAGCUAACACGUUAAGUAUCCUAACUGGGGAGUACGUUCGUAAGAAUGAAACUCAAAGGAACUGGCGAGGGCCUGCACAAACGGUGGAACAUGUAGUUUAAUUCGAUUCAAAUUGAAGAACCUUACCUAGACUUGACAUGCCACGAAUCCUCUUGAAAGAGAGGGGUGCCUUAAGGAAUACAGACACAGGUGGUGCAUUACUGUCGCCAAUUUGUGCCGUAAAGUAUUGGGUUAAGUCCCGCAAUCCUUGUGUUUAGUUGCCACCGUUGAGUUUGAAACCUUAAGAAAACUGUUGGUGAUAAGCCGGAGGAAGGUGAGGAUGACGUCAAGGUAGCAUGUCCCUUAUGCCUUGGGUGACACACGUGCUACAAUGGACGAGACAAAGGGUCGCGAUCCCGCAAUGGUGAGCUAACUCCAAAAACCCGUUCGCAAUUCGGAUUGCAGGCUACAACUCACCUGCAUGAAGCCAGAAUCACUAGUAAUUUUCGGUCAGCUAUACGACAGUGAAUUCGUUCCUGGAGUUUAUUCACACCGCCUGUCACACUAUCGGAACUAGUCAUGCCCAAAGUCGUUACCUUAAUCGCAAUGAGAGGGAUGCCGAAGGUAGGGCUAAUGACCUGAGUGAAAUCGUAACAAAGUACCCUUAUUAUAUUAUAU
rnacentral:rRNA from 1 species